GGGUUGGCACUGUUUGAUAGUAGGUGGCUUGACUGAAUGUUAUAAAAACUAUGUCAUACAGGAAGUACGCUUAUUCACCAGCACUCUUAAAUAUCUUAACAUCAAGUCUCCAUGUGCUCCUUCAAGGAUCCUCUUUCCAGGUAGAGAGAUGAAGAGUCUGCAGAUCAUUGGAGCGGUGUCUCUGCUGCUGCUGCUCAUGGGGGCUCACAUCGACGGGUACAAGCCAGUUAUCAUCGUUCACGGGAUUCGUCAGGCACCAGAAGACCUAAAAGCAUUGACUCAGCACAUUGAACAGGUAGGACAGCUCAAAAGAGCUUUUGUGUGUACCUGAUUUUAUUAGAACUUGUUCUUCACUGGAGAGAAGACAUUUUUGUGUCACUCUGAAAAACACUGUUUUUGUCUCCAGUAAAAGCUCCUCCUUGAGCUCUUGGUACUUCUCCAGUUUCCCGUGUUCCUUCUUUCUGAUGUUGGUAUCGCUUGGGAUUGGAUCGCUUGUAUUCUCACUUUCUGUUUGGGUUUUUCUUUUUUUUUUUCAGGCACAUCCAGGCACUGAGGUCCAUGUCAUCAGUUUGUUCAACAACGAUGAGAGUUUUGAGCCGAUGUGGAAGCAGGUCCGUGGCUUCAGGGAGAAAAUCAAGCUAAUCAUGCAGAAAUCUCCUGAUGGGGUUCAUCUUCUGUGCUUCUCACAAGGUCCUCCUUCCCACUCAUAACACACUCAGCUGAACACUUUUGAGCUCCUGUGAGGAGAUGAAACAAUCCGAAGGAUCAUGCUUCUAAUACUCUAUAUUUGUUAAGACUGACUACCCUUUGACCAUUUUGUCCCCUUUUUUCUAUCAGGUGGUCUAAUUUGUCGAGGGCUUCUUUACAAAACUGCACGCCACAACGUGGACACCUUCAUUUCACUGUCAUCUCCUCAAGCUGGGCAGUACGGAGGUCAGAGGGCGUCAUUUUAUACUUCAGCAUGUCUACAUAACACUUACCCUUCAGGUAACAGUGUCACUUUGGGACUCUAGUUGUAAAGGUUCUUUUAAAUUGACAGACAUUAAUGAUCUGAAAGCAACAAUUCAUUAAAAAAAAAAGUUGUGAAAAUGAAUAAACAAUUUAAUGGUUCGCAAUUCAUUUAAACCCAAAGACUGAUUAAUAUAUUCAUUUCAAGAAUAAAAAAGUUAUUGCUUGAUAAAAAACUUAAAAUAUGAAUACCUGAAAUAUUAAAAAAAGGGGGGGACAUCUCCCAUCUAAGAUUAUGUUAACUUUCAACAGGUUAGUAACAGGACAAAUGCAUCUCAAAGCAGCAGAGUUUUUAAUUUCAACAUUAUCACAUAGUCUUUGUACUGUUUUCAACAAAUUUAGACUUUAAGUGAUUUACAAAACCCCAAAAUUCU